GAUGAAGAACGCAGCAAAAUGCGAUAAGUAAUGUGAAUUGCAGAAUUCAGUGAAUCAUCGAAUCUUUGAACGCACAUUGCGCCCACUAGUAUUCUGGUGGGCAUGCCUGUUCGAGCGUCAUUUCAACCCUCAAGCCUUAGUUGCUUGGUGUUGGGAGCUUAUCUUGCCGAAAGGCGGACAACUCCUUAAAACUAUUGGCGGAGUCGCGGUGACCCCAAGCGUAGUAAAUCUUUUUUUUCUCGCUUUAGGUGUUAACGCUGGCUUUCUAGCCGUUAAACCCUCUAAAUUUUUAGUGGUUGACCUCGGAUCAGGUAGGACUACCCGCUGAACUUAAGCAUAUCAAUAAGCGGAGGA
rnacentral:misc_RNA from 1 species